UCUGUUCAAGACAUGUGAUGUGAUGUGAUGUGACCAGCUCAGAGGUUAAUGCUAGUGUUCCUGUUAAGAUCAGCCUUUUCAAUUUAUUUCCCGCUACUGCCGAAUGGAGGGCACGAGUACAGCUGCCGUCUGGCGUCACACAAACAGACACACAGUCUGAAUGGGACUGAAGUAAAAGGCUCUGAGUAUAAUGGAAGAGCAGUAGAUGAGAUCCUGUGACCUCACCCACCGUCUUCAGUUUCACUGACCCUCCUUCAGUGCUUUCACAUAUAGAGCCUCAUUAAUGCACUUUACAACCCUUAAGAGGACGUCAACAUCUAAUGUUAAACUAUAUGGCAAGUUAAAGAAUGUGAACUUGUUAAACAUCAUUGUUGAAGCAGAGUGAAAUAUAUUAAAACAUGUCCGGGUCAUUUGUCAUUCCUAAAUCAAAAGGAAAAUACAAUUAAUACAAUUAAAAUUUGCAUUAAUGUA